CCUACGGGAGGCAGCAGUGGGGAAUAUUGCGCAAUGGGGGAAACCCUGACGCAGCAACGCCGCGUGAGUGAAGAAGGCCUUCGGGUUGUAAAGCUCUUUAAUCAGGGACGAAGAAUGACGGUAGCUGAAGAAUAACCUCCGGCGAACUACGUGCCAGAAGCCGCGGUAAUGCGUAGGGAGCAAGCGUUAUCCGGAUUUACUGGGUGUAAUGGGCGUUUAGGCGGGCCUGCAAGUCAGAAGUGAAAUCUGGGGGCUUAACCCCCAAACUGCCUGUGAAACUGUGGGUCUUGAGUGAGGGAGAGGUAGGCGGAAUGCCCAGUGUAGCGGUGAAAUGCGUAGAUAUCGGGCGGAGCUCCAGUGGCGAAGGCGGCCUGCUGGACACUAACUGACGCUGAGGCGCGAAAGCGUGGGGAGCAAACAGGAUUAGAUACCCUGGUAGUC
rnacentral:rRNA from 1 species